rnacentral:lncRNA from 1 species
CCGCCGCCGCUGCCGCCGCCCAGGCUAGCGCGGAGCCUCCGCUCCAUCGCCCCGCCGCCAUGGACCUAUUCGGGGACUUGCCGGAGCCCGAGCGCGCGCCGCGGCCGUCUGCCGGGAAAGAAGCACAGGAAGGACCCGUGCUCUUCGAGGACCUGCCCCCGACCAGCAGUACUGACUCAGGAUCUGGGGGACCUUUACUCUUUGAUGGUCUUCCACCUGCUGGCAGCGGCAAUUCAGUUGUUUUUUUUCCUCAGCCUCUUCGGUGAUCUUUGGUUUGAAAGGCUACGUGGCAGAGCGGAAGGGUGAGAGGGAGGAGAUGCAGGACGCCCAUGUCAUCCUGAAUGAUAUCACUCAGGAGUGUAAUCCUCCAUCAUCUCUCAUUACUCGGGUUUCAUACUUUGCUGUUUUUGAUGGACAUGGAGGAAUUCGAGCCUCGAAAUUUGCUGCACAGAAUUUGCACCAGAACUUAAUCAGGAAAUUUCCUAAAGGAGAUGUAAUCAGUGUGGAGAAGACUGUGAAGAGGUGCCUGCUAGAUACUUUUAAGCACACCGAUGAAGAGUUCCUGAAACAGGCUUCAAGCCA